CAUAUAAAAAUAUUAUCUCCUAAUGAGCCACAAAGUGCACAAUAUCAAAAAAUGAGGAAGGAUGCCUGCGACACCAAGGUUCAACUGUGUUUCAAUGGAGGAAACUAUUAUAAAUGACCAUCAUAUGUGAGAAGAACCUGUGCACUUAUCAGUACCUGCAAGCGUCUCUCAAGCAGGAUGACCUCAAUUAUAAUAAACAGAUAUUUUCCUAUGUAAAUAAUGUAUAUUUUAUUAUAUUCACAUUUUAAAUAU
rnacentral:lncRNA from 1 species